CAGUUUUAUAGCAAUGAGGCGUUAAACAUUAGUACCUUAUCGAGGUUCAGAGAUUUUAGCUUCAAUUCGUUGAGCACGCAUUCUGUUUCCUCAAGCUUCUUUUCCUUGCACUGGAUUUCUGUGCACUUUGUUGCCAGGUCUCGAUGGCGCUCAACCAAAAUUGUCAGUUCUUUAGCAAGAUCAUCCGUUUUUGUUGUUUUCUCAUCCAGGAUUUCUUGACAGUGUUUUCUCGAGUCGAUCUUUGUGACUUGUGCAGUCAACUAAUGCUUCGCUGGUCGAAUUGUAUUUCUUUUCGAGCAAGCCAUAUCGGUCCUGCAAUGCCGCUCUAUCCUUGGAAUAUCAACGAAUCUAGAAUUCUAGAUCAGUGCCGAGGUUGCCGACCACGUGUUUCUGCUUGGAUCUCCCAAAGGGAUUAUGGAGUAGGGAAAUAGGGAUCCAACCUAGGGAUCCAACCCAACC